UACGGGGGGGGCACGCGUUGUUCGGAAUUACUGGGCGUAAAGGGCUCGUAGGUGGCCAACUAAGUCAGACGUGAAAUCCCUCGGCUUAACCGGGGAACUGCGUCUGAUACUGGAUGGCUUGAGUUCGGGAGAGGGAUGCGGAAUUCCAGGUGUAGCGGUGAAAUGCGUAGAUAUCUGGAGGAACACCGGUGGCGAAGGCGGCAUCCUGGACCGACACUGACACUGAGGAGCGAAAGCCAGGGGAGCAAACGGG
rnacentral:rRNA from 1 species